UGCCAGCAGCUUCAACAAACAACGCCCAGAACAGCCCAUCACCACACAUCGCCCAGCCUAACAAAAUAUUUAGACCCGACCUGGCCUAUCCUUUUAUCUCCACCAUAAGCCCAACAACUGUUAACAACAGCAAACAAUAAAUGGCGUAACAGCGACCAUCGCAACAGCUUUAACAACAUUCAACAACAGCAAUACACGACAACACACCAACAACGGCAAAACCCUAGUCGUUCCUUUUACCAGAUUACCCUUUUCGCACAGCCGAAAAUGGCUAAGGGUCCAUCCAUUUUUUCGUUUUCAGCUUGUGCUCGGCCAUUUGCGGCAAUACCACAGCGGAUACCUCCUCCUCCAUUAAAUUUUUUUAGUCAUAGGCCAUUAGUGGCCUUGUCCAACUGUGGACCUCAAUUUUUCAAGAAAUUCAAUUCAGAAUCCUAAAUUGAAAUCCGAAAACCCUAACUAUUUCCCCCCAAUUUGCUAAGAAGAAGGGGGGAUGAGGGGAUUUUCCAGGAAAUACUUAGAGGUUCUGGAGGCGCGUGCUUCUAACGUCACGCAAUCGAAAUUCUCGAAGAACACACUUGAAAAGUCGAUCCCAACGAAAGGUUAAAACUCCAAUGAACCAAGCAAUUAAAACUUCGGUGGGAAAAGCUCCAUCGUGAUAGGCUCGUUUGUCUCCAUUCCUUCCUGAAAAAAGGACCUUGGUUAGAGAUGACAUGCUAUAGGACCUAAUUGGCUGAGCAUUAGAUACUAAAGCCAAAUAGUGAUCCUAUUGUUGAACUGGAAGUUAAUGAUUGAUGUCCUCAUAUUGCUUCAAGGUUGACAGAUACUUGAUGUCUGAAUUUUGGUACAUGAACGGAGCUCGUCCUCUGCAGGUCAUAACGGGUGGGAGCACUCAUAAGACCCUUAGCUUAUAUGUACAAGGUAUGUAUGAGUGUGACCAUUUCUUGAGUGGAGCGGAUAUAUGAUUAUUGUUUAUAUUGAUUUCAUGAGUGGAUCAAGUUAUAUGUGGUUGUUGUUGUGGGUCUUUGAGUGAAUUGGAUUAUGACGUUGCUCGAUAUAUUUAAAAUUCUUGUGUGGUCUGCUUACUUGACAUAUAUUUUGGGAUUCUUGUUGUUAGAGUUAGGAUUGUUGAUUGGUCAUGGUUUGACUUGACUUAUUGUCUCUUGAAUUGUACUUGACUGAAGUUAUAGAGUUACUUGAAAAGGCUAAAUUUCAUAAACUUUAGGUAGCUAUCACAAUAUGUGUUCAUCAUUGUAUUUGUUACAAGGUGAUGAUUAUUGAUUUUCAUUUAUCAUUGAGAUUAAUUAAGACGUAAGUGAAAUAAAUUGACUUAAUAAUUGUUGGUAUCAAACAAGUGAGAGAUAGGAUAGACGACCCUUGAUGUGAAGGUGAUGAAUGAUCAACAGAAAUAAUAAUAAAAAUACUCUUAGUUAAACUAAGGGAUAAGGAUAGCAUAAUUGGAUGAUAGGUUACGAAAUAAAUUAUUAUAUAAGCUGUCAUAUUUUCUUUUUAUAGUUUCUAUAUUGUGUUUAUGCGAUCUUACCUUGGUUGGUCGAUUAUACCUACUAGUAUGUGUUAUUUGUAAUGAUACUACUCUUGCUAUGCCUUUUUUGGGAUAUGGUCUGAUUGCAGGAUUAAUUGAUGUUUCUCAGAUAACGUGGAUAGUGAUUACCGAGAGCUUUUACUCCUCUCAUUCAUGGUGUAAGUUGAGUCUAGUUUUAUGUUCUUAAUUUAGAAGCUCUUAUAUCUGUUUAGACUAGAUUCUUGAGGUAAUUUUUAUUUUACAUGCAAUAUUUGUAAAAUAUUGGUAUUUUGUCAUUUAUUAAAGACUUCUAUAUAUUUUUUUAAAGGA